CGCAGCCGCCUCCACUCCUCCUCUCCCCAUUCCCCUGAUCUAGCCGCCUCCUCUCCCCAAGUCCCCAUCACUAGAUCCACCACCACCGGCGGCGGGCGGCACCGGCCGACGCCUCAUCCGGCCGCCCUUCCCUUAAUCCCGUCGCCCUCUCCUGCUCCUCGCCUCCUCGCGACAUCGCCUUGUCGUCCUUCGCAUCAAGGCACCAGUCGGCACCUCAUCAGGUCUCGUCGCCGUCUCCUGGUCCUCGCCUCCUCGCGACCCGGCCUCCUCGACUCCUCCUUCACCUCAAGGCCGGGCAAGGCGACUGCAAGUGCAGGAUGGUGGCAAUGGCAAGUGCUCCUCUUCCUCAUCCCAGGUGAUCGUCGGCUUCUUCAUCGACCCAAGAGGCCGAGGCCAUCAGGCUGACAGCGACGACGACCGGCAGCUCGCAUCCUCUUCCUCCACCUCAAGCAAAUCUGCAUCGACCCGAGACCAUCAAGGUGAGCAGCUCACCGGCGACCCAACUAUAUGUCAGGUUCAGGUGAAUAUGUUGAGCAAGAUAAGCCACUUCGUGUGAAGAGAAAGACCACAUCUGUGGCUCAGAAUGAGUUCAAUAGGGUUCUUGUUGAGGAAAAAUGGAAGGCUGAAUGUGUAUGGUGUCACGGGCUAUUUUGUGGAGAUCCAAAGUAUGGAACCUCACAUCUGCAUGCUCAUUUAGCAAGAUGUGCUUAUAGGCAGGCCAAUGGUUGAGGAACUGUUCCUAUAUGCCUGCACGGAGCAGUGAAGAAUGAAGAUUGAAGUCUUAGAUAUUUGAUGUUGUGAGAUGUGUGUGCUUUGUUAUGUUUGCCAUGCUUGCUUUUGUUAAGUGUUAAGGAACUUUCAGUCGUGUACUCGUGUAAUCCAUUUGUUGAAUAUUUGGUCAGUCAUAAUUGAAUAUGUAUGUAUCAAUUAUAUGUCAAAAUUAUCUAAAUAUCCAGCAG